CCCUUUGCUGCAUCGAUACAGACUCACGGAAAGGGCUCAGUAAGCGUGUACUCCAACCCGCACGCCCUUUGAAAUUCAACAUCGGGACAACCCUAAGCCCUUACAGAUUUCACAAGAACGGACACCAA